CCGGGAAGGCGAGCGGGAGGAGAAGUGCCUGGAAGCCGAGGCCGGCGUUGAGGGAGUGGAAAGCGGCGUAGCGGGCGUUGCCGCCGCGGCUCUCGGUGACGGGCAGCCAGGCGUCGCGCGGGUCGAGGCGCGUGAGGUGGCCCACGUCCUCCAGGUACCCGCGCAGGCCCUCCACCACGCGACGCCCUGGGGUCCCGGAGCCCUUGCUCCUGCCGCCGCCGCCCCCGCCCGCUCCGGUCGGCGUGGCCGCGCCCUCCGGCGUCGACAGACCGUGCGGCGUCGCCGGGAUCGACACCAGCUCUGGCUCGCUCGCCGCGCCCUCCGCCGCCAUCGCCAUUGCCGUCGCUGCAGUUCUUGGGGUUCGCGAGGGAGUGAUGUUUUGGAAUGGGAGCUCGGGCUGGCGUUGGAAGCUGUGGAAGAAAAGGUGGCGCAGGGGAGUGUGCGGUGUG
rnacentral:misc_RNA from 1 species